rnacentral:rRNA from 1 species
AUGGCGUCCAGCGCCGGUGAUAUGCCCGAGGUGAAAUUCAAGAGGACCGGCAGCCUGGGGAGCAGCGACUACGUGCGAGCCGACAAGAUCGACCUCACCAGCCUCGACAUCCAGCUCGAGCAGCAGCUCAACAAGAAAUGGGGCAAGACCAACAUCAAGUCCCAGGGACCCAAGGCGGACUGGGAGAUUGACCUUGCUAAGCUCGAGAUCCGGCAUGUCAUCGCCCAGGGCACAUAUGGCACCGUCUACCGUGGCACCUAUGAUGGCCAGCAAGUCGCAGUGAAGCUGUUGGAUUGGGGAGAAGAUGGUUUUGCCACAGAAGCCGAAACUACUGCUUUACGAACAUCAUUUAAGCAGGAGGUUGCUGUUUGGCAUAAGCUCAGCCAUCCUAACGUUACAAGGUUUAUUGGUGCGUCUAUGGGGACCACCGACCUCAAGAUACCAGUCAAUGACAACGGUGCGCGUGCCAACUUGCCAGCUAGAGCAUGUUGUGUUGUGGUAGAGUAUCUCGCUGGAGGCACUUUGAAGCAGUAUCUGAUAAAGAACAGACGGCGGAAGCUCGCCUACAAAGUUGUGGUUCAGCUUGCAUUGGAUCUGUCCAGAGGGUAA